AGAAAAUAUAGAGAAAGGAAAAUGUUAUUAAGAAAACCAUAAUGAAGAGAAAAUAUAUUUACUAUUAAUUAAGUGGAGGUAAAUCAUCAAAAAGAUCUCCAUCCUCAUCUUCACAUUGAGUAUUCUGAAGAGGAGGAGAAAAGGGAAAUGUUGACGGUGCUGUCUCAGGGAUGACAGAGGUGGAAAAGGUAGAGGAGGUGGAAGGGGAGGCAGCAGAGACAGAUACAAUAGGUAUAACUUUUAUUGACAAGAAAUAUUUAAAAUACUGCAGGAGUUUUGUCUUUUUUUUAAGAUGGCAGAUUGGAGACUGUUAGUAUGCCUCUCCCACUUAAAAAGACAAAAUACUGUGUAGAGAUUCAUGCUGUGAACUUUUUCCAAGAAGUAAGGCAGGAACUUAACAGGAGAACUAAAAACACCUACAGACCCGUUGAAGGAAGCAGUGGGCUGCAGCCUACAUUGUGAGCCAGGCAGAAAACUGUUAAGUCCUCAGAGUGUUAGAUGGGGAUAAACUGCCUCCAAGAUACAUACUCCCACUGGGGAACCUAGCAAUCAGGGCCAGGAAGGAAGGCCUUAACCCUACACAGUGCUGCAACUGAUUUAGUGGGCACUGGCAAAUACAUGAGAAGGAGCGGCAUUGGAUCAUGCUUUGAGAAUUCCCAGUUUCCAGCAGGGACAGAAAGAAGCCAUCCAUGAUCCUUUUUCACAGGGUACCUCAUGGAAAUUGGUCAGCUAAUUCAGGUGGUGGUUGCAGGUUGAGAGAAGCUCCCAUCAUUGGUGCUUUAAUCUCAAGUGGGGAUGAACUCCCUUGGCCAGAACCAAGAGGCCAGUGGGAAGUGUGCUAUAGACAUGGGUGCAGGAGCUGGGCACCACUGCUUCAUGGGCAGACUGGGAGGGGCAUGGCCUGAAAGCCAUGGUUUCUUUCUCAAUAGGAAAGGCUUGAAUUCUGAGUGCAGACUACCCAGAACUUAGCUAGUGCUGAUAGUGGAACACUGUAGGUGUGAAACCUGCCUUGCCAGGUAUAUGAGAACUGGGUAGGGCUUACUGCUGCCUGCUACUCCCCACUCCCUUAGCAGACUCUUCUGGGCAGCAGAGGCAGCUGCACUUCUCCCUGGAACAUUACCCCAGGAACCAGAGAACUGCCUUCUGAUUCCCCCUGGGAUGGCUUCUUGCACCCACAUGUGGAGAACCAGAGCACAGACUUAACCUGACCCAGCCGACACCUGGCUUUGCUCUUCCACCCAUCCUAAUGGCUUAACACAAAGGACAGAAACUUUUGUGAGGUCUAUGGCACCACUCAUUACCUGAGACAGUAGGGUAACUUUCCUGGGUAACACCUGAGACAUCAGAGUACCCCCAGUGGGUAAAUAACAUAAGACAAGCACAAAUCCACCACUACCACCACAGCUGGUGCUCUUUUGCAAAUGUCACCCCCUGGCUAGAGACCACCUGACAAAGUCCAUAACAGUAUCUGCAGGCAGAAUAACACAGCACCCAGGAAAGAGAAAACUUGUGCAUAACCUCAGCCAUUAGCAUUGACUGCAUCACCCUGGCUAACCAAGAGAUCCUGAGUAUGUUCACAUGACUAGUUCACUACUACUACAGCUGGCAUUUGAGAAAGCCAACACAGUAAGCCUAUUUAUAUCUAAGAAAUCUCACAGAAUCUAUAUCAUUCACCUGCCACCACAUCAGAACUGGUGCUAAUACCUGCUGCUGGGAGAACUGAGGACAUGUCAUGUCCCUAGAUUCCUUGCAGACAUUUCCCACUACCAUUCUGGAGUGUGGCAGCCUCACUGGGCAGCUAGACCCAAAGGAGCAGUAUUCACAGUAGUCUGGCCCUGAGUGACUCCUACUGCUAGGGGAAGAGGGAGUGUACAACAUUAAGGGAGCAUCUUGUGGGACAAAAUAAUCCAGAUGGCAGGUCUUGAGUAAUAAACUUUCCACAUGGUGGGAAAUUUCUUUCAGCAGAGGCACUGAAAGAAAUUUCAGAAGGUGCAGCGCUGGGCUCAGUGAGAAAAGUCUGCCACUCUACCCCAACAGGCAGCCUGGAUGCCCAUGAAAGAUCUUGGAGAUGGAGACUUCUCCCCUUUGCCUACUACUACAGACACAGCUGAGGCUUCUCCCAUGGGAACUUAGCAUGAGUGUAUCUGUAGACUGCUUUCUGGGAUAUUUCAGGGUAACGGCUUUUCCACAGAAGGAGCAUCCUUCAAGUUCAGGCUUGUAUGAGAGGUAGAAUGAUAGUUCCUUUCUACUUGGAAUAUCAAAAAUCCUGCAGAUAAAAAGAGGUGCCUAUCUGAUCUGAAUAGCUGAAACACUGGGGUUCUGGUAUGGGAGUUAGGUAGCUUUCCUGCUGGCCUGGCAGAGAAGCUGAACUGGUUCCCUCCUUUCCUGCCGAAAAGACCACAAUUUCACUGAGAGUUCUCCCAGCUACCUUUGUCAAGGCUGUGAUCUCUCCCCACCAUGGGGUAUUGCAUUUACCCACAUGUUUAGCUACAUCUGGUUUUUACCCCCAGACAAAUCCCCUACUGACCUGAAGCCUGAACUUUUCAACUCAGUAAAUAAAAUAUUAGG